AGUAGAUCCUGGCUCAGAACGAACGUGGCGGCAGGCUUAACACAUGCAAGUCGAACGGGUGUAGCAAUACAUCAGUGGCAGACGGGUGAGUAACACGUGGGAACCUUCCUCGUUGUACGGGACCAACUUCAGGGGAAAACCUUGGAAGCUAAUAUCCGUAUACGUUCCGAAGAAGGGAGAAAAGAUUUAUUCGCAAUUGAGACGGGCCCCGCGUUCGGAUUAGCUAGUUUGGUGAGGUAAUUGGCUCACCAAGGGCGACGAUCAGUAGCUGGUUCUGAGAGGAUGAUCAGCCACAUUGGGGACUGAGGACACGGCCCAGACUCCUACGGGAGGCAGCAGUGGGGAAUAUUGGAUAAUGGGCGCAAGCCUGAUCCAGCCAUGCCGCGUGAGUGAUGAAGGCCUUAGGGUUGUAAAGCUCUUUUGUCCGGGAAGAUAAUGACUGUACCGGAAGAAUAAGCCCCGGCUAACUUCGUGCCAGCAGCCGCGGUAAUACGAAGGGAGCUAGCGUUGUUCGGAAUCACUGGGCGUAAAGGGUGCGUAGGCGGGUCUUUAAGUCAGAGGUUGAAAUCCUGGGAGCUCAACUCCAGAACUGCCUUUGAUACUGAGGAUCUUGAGUUCGGGAGAGGUGAGUGGAACUGCGAGUGUAGAGGUGAAAUUUCGUAGAUAUUCGCAAGGAACACCAGUGGCCGAAAGGCGGGCUCACUGGCCCCGAUUACUGACGCUGAGGCACGAAAGCGUGGGGAGCAAACAGGAUUAGAUACCCUGGUAGUCCACGCCUGUAAACGAUGGAUGCUGGCCGUCAGGUAGCUUGCUAUUUGGUGGCGCAGCUAACGCUUUAAGCAUCCCGCCUGGGGAGUACGGAAGCAAGGUUAAAACUCAAAUGCCA
rnacentral:rRNA from 1 species